GGUGUUUAUUACCGUGGAUCAUCACCAUACAAUUUUGAAGUUUAUUAGAUUUAUUUCAGAACCAUGAUGGUCUCUACACAUGAGUUCUUAUCGAUGAAAGCUUAUGACAAUUUUCUUUCGUUUUUGCAUUUUUUCGAGAGCAAUGUUUAUAUAACUUUGAAAAUAUGGGUUGUUUGUUUUGACCCUCAUUCUCGUAUGAAGUUGUGAUGCCCAGCUAAGAUUCGGAGGCUAUGAUGGACCUGAUGGUUUCCUGAGUCUCCAUUGUAAAAACACCUAUUAGCUUAGAAAUCGUGCACAUGAAUUGUUCGAUGAAAUGAUUUUAUUGGUUGAUUGUUAGAAAUAUGGGAUGUUCAUACCUAUUAGCUCAGAAAGUUUACAUUAUGAACACGUAAUAGUUUGAGAAUUGCGCUGAUCUAUGUAACUGAUGCUUUUUAUGGGUUUUGCAUGACAAAUCGGUGUCUGUUUAUCUGCAUGGUUUUGUCUGUUCGUGCCGAUGAUCAAACCUGUUUGCCUAAUUCGCCAUGGCGGCUUCUUCAGGUAUUGAAAGCGGGAUGAUUGAUGAUUGCAGCUGAUCAUUAGAGCUCAUGCAUGUGAUGGAAUGGGUCAAGAAAAAAAAAAAUACUCUAAUGCAGAUUU
rnacentral:lncRNA from 1 species